GGCAAAGGGAAGAACUAUGAUCAACAGCUGU
rnacentral:piRNA from 1 species